UACAAAAGAGCGUAAACCUGUGGCAGCAGCUGGAGACCGAGCCUGCUCAUUAUUCAGCUCCGUGCGACCCUGCUUACUCAAAGACGUCGCUGUUCUCUGUAAUACCUCCCAUCCAUUCUCUUUGUCCCGGGGCUUCCGGCUUCACUUUAUCCUGUUUUCUCCCCGGACCGGAGCAGUCAGUGCGCAGCUGUUGUUCGGCACUCCCACAUCUGCUUGUCUCUGCUCGGCAGCCAUACAGACGACGCUGCCCUCCUCUCUGCCGAGGCUCAUAUCAGUGCGGAGCGUGUAGUCCGGAGGGCGAGCAGCUUUUCACUGCGGGCGGCUAACACAGCACAAAACACGGCGUGGAAUAGCAGGUUAGAGAGCAUGAAGUCGACAUGGAGGAGGAAGAAGAAGAGGAGGCGAUGUUUUUUCACCGUUGAUUCUGCGGGACAGGUGCACGAGGAGCCUCAUGAUCUCUGGUGACCUUGUGGCCAGUGUUGCAUGGACUGUGCACAGGAUUCGUCUCCGGAGCUGCUGACGUCUCCAGUCAGGACACAGGGAGGACCCAACAGCAGGACAGGUUAUGUGAACAGGCUGAGUUAUCUUUACUUGAAUCAUGAAGGAGCUUCAUUUUCAUUGGCACACUGUAACAGAUGGAGAAAAUGAUAGCAUUACUCAUUCAGUUAGAUAACUGCCAUCAAUGCAGCCUAUCUGAAAUGACAUAUGGGGGUGUGGGUGUAGUUUUAGUCUUAUUUGUGUCAAAAAAAAGAGGACAGAAAGAUAAAAUCUAAGAAGAUGUAAUCUCUAGGGUAUCUUUAGAGGACAGUCAGGUUGUGUCCCACUUUUCUGCUGCCAUGUCUUGUGUGUUUUUCCCCAGUUGUACCGAGGAAAAAAAGCAGAUCGCGGCUCGUACCAGACCCCAGCAGCUGCAUCACCGCUCCAUCGCCCUCCGCUGCACCACCGCAGAGAGGAUCCAUCUGCGGAUUUACACCAGGUGAUGGAUUCAUGGCGCCACUCCAGCUUCAGAAAGAGAUGCUCAAAUGUUUUCCUCAAAAAAGAUGACUCCUGCCGCUUCAGUGUAUAAAUGUCAAAGACUUCCAGAAGAAAAAUACUUUCCUCUCAGUCAGAGGGGGUGUUUGAUGGGUUGUGUUAUAAAUGCUCUUUAAAAUAUGCUGUGAGUAGUUUAAUAUAGUUCCACUCACCCCCUGCUCUGGUUGGUUUGGCCGAUCAAAAUCACUGCAGCUAUGGAACACCUCUUGUGCCUUUUCACUGCCGCGUCUGUGCAGUGACCUCCAUACUCUGUUACAGUUUUUUUCUGUCUCUGAGGGUUUUGCCAAUGCUAUUCUGUGUGUUAGCAUCUUACUAACGCUAGCAUGCAUCUCUGCCAGAUCCAGGAUAUUCUCAGCCUGUGAUGUUAAAAACAAACUGCUAAAAGAGUGUGAGAAGGAUGAGCAGUUUUCUCACAUUUUUAUGAUGUGUUAGUCACACAAUGUGUUCAUGUUGUCUUGAAAAAGAAAUGCAUACUUGCUGUAUUUACACUGUAGUGUGUGGGUCUGCUGAGUUUUAGCCAGACUAGUGGUUUUACUUGUGGACAUUGUGGCAGUUUAUCCCCAUUUUUUAAAAUUUUGAACCUCAAAUUAGAGGGCAACAUUGGGAGCGCCAUGUUAAUCUUGUGGAAGAGGGCAGUUUUAAAGUCGCUGUGGGUGGCUUAACUUGCAAAGCUGAUGGAUUUGCCAGAUUUCAUGUUUGCCAUCAGGCAAAUUCAUCUUGCAAAGCUCCAAUUUGAAACAUUUGUGCCUGGUUUGAAAAAUACCAGCCCAACUAGCAUCAUAUGAGGAGAACAAUGCAGCAGCUAUGGUUGUGGUUUUACUGCAAUAAAGCCAUUAGCAGCUAUAGCAGCAGUUUUAUCAGAAGUGGAAAGCAUUUCUUUACUUCUCAAAGAAAUGCACUGAAUGCUUUUCUUGGUGGAAAAGAUGUUUUUGCUCUUCUCACACCCUGCUUCAGCAUGAGUUUUAUUCACCAACUGGCUCCACUGUCAGUAAACUGCAGCAUCUGUCAAGCUGAUGGGAAGUAGUUUACGAAUCAGAACUGCACAUGCCCACUACAUCACUGUGUCUUGUUGCUUUGAUUAAUUCACAAUGAAUGUGACUGACAGAACAUUCAUCCAAUCACCUUUCAAGACUUUUUGAAGGGCUUUGGCCCUCUAAAUACUUUGUAUGGGCAGUUGCUCAGAUGAAUGUGAGGUAAAUCCCCAGAAAGCUAGUGCUUACAUUGAUGGAGUUAACAAAUGAUGUUGAAUAGUACAUUAGAGUGUAUUCUACCAGAUGUCUACCAAUACUGAUUUAUAAAGGCUAGUAUUGACACCAAUUAUUAAUAGUUCAUGAGACGGGUAACUGAUAUUUGGAACUGAUAUGUGUCAGUGGUACUCAUAGCUGAUGGAUUGACCAGAUUCCAUCGGGCAGAUCCAUCUUGCAAAGCUCCACUCUGAAACAUUUGCCAGGUCUGAGAAUGGACCAUACCAGUCAGCAUUAUUUGAGGAGAACAAUGUGGUUGCUACAGGCGGGAUUUUGUGGAAAUGAAAACUGAUAGCAGUCGCUGACCCUGGUGUUGCAUUUAGCUCUGAUGUAGCUAUCCACAUUUUUAAAUUAAAUUAAGAGCAACAAACAGCUCUGACAGUUUUUCACAAUAACUAAAGGAGGUGUUUAGUUGUACUGUAAGCUGGAAUUUACAGUGGCUGCUAUUGGUGUCAUGAUUAGCUCGGAUGUAGCUAUCGCAUAGCAACAGUUUUUAUCAGAAAUGGGCCACGUUUCUUUUUCAAAACAAGAGCAAUAGCACAGAAAACCAUACUUGGCAUAGAUGAUGUUUUUGCAUGUUCAGGGACCAGUCUCGGCACAAGUUUUAUCCGCAACAAGCUUUGUUGUUCCAAACCUGCUGCUCCUGUCCGUCAAGCUCAGGUUACUACCACAGCUGCACAUGCCUACAUCUUCAUUUUGUCCUGUCACUCUGAUUGGCCCAUAAUGAAUGUGACUGACAGAAUGUUGGUCCAAUCACUUUUGAAGAAUUUUUUGUAUAGUCCUUAACCUUCCCAAAAAGCUUUCUAUGGGUAGUGAAUGUUAAUAUAUUACAUGCAAUGGAUAGAUAAAACAGUCUGGCUUGUGAGGUUAUGUUACACAGAUAUUGACUGGCUAUUACACAAGUAACGUCUAGCCAAUCAGAUAUGGGCGAGAAAUUAUGUGAGACUGUAGAGGGUGAGUCAGAGGGGAAGACUCACAGUGGAGCCAAAUUAAGUGAUUUUAUUGGCCACCGGUAAAAUAAAAAGCAGGUACAAAUAAUGGGCCAAACACUGAAUAUUAGCCCUGAUAAUCAGCCAGGCUGAUAGUUGGUCGGCCCUUAAGUUUUUAUGACACAAAUGCAAAGAAAUGCGAUUCUGAUGUUUUGAAGAAUUUAUGAUUUACAAAUGAGAAAGUGAAGGAAGAAGAUGGAUAAGAAAUCAACUUUCUAUAUUUCGAAUUUCUAAUAUAGAAUGGGCAAAAAUCUGGCAUGCAUGGGAAGAGACAAAACACAUGCUCCAGUCUCCCUGAUAAAAUACCCUCUUACCCUCUCCUUUAACAAAUACCUUCUCCCUGCACAAAUGUUACAAAACAACAACAGAUUAAAAUAACAAGCUCAGGGCUUCUGUUUGGUUUAGAUUUUUUAUUUUGUUUCAGUAGUUUAGAAUGAUCAAUUUCUUCUAUUUAGAAGGGGGACACAUUUAUUUAUACUGAGGGAACAGACUUGAGUUUUGCACCUUGGUGGUGACGGGGUGGGGGGUGGGGGUCUCUAUGGCUACAGGCUUUGUCUGUGUGUCUGUGUGAGUGCAUGCCUGUGUGCAUGUGUGUAUGUUCCGUGUAUGCAUGUGUCUUAUGUCUAUGAAUAAUCUGAAAUUUGCGAUGUUACUGGGCUGCCAGCUGCUUAUUGGUUAUUUCCUCACAUCUGCAAAGUUUGCUCCUCUUUUACUCUCUAAAUACUCCAGACAAGGGAUAAAAAAUAUUUACAAAUGAUUCUUAGCAUCAGUUUUGACCUUAUUGAAGUAUCACCUAGGUGGGGGUUCUUGUGAUUCACAUAAUCACAUGUGUGCUGCUGGAAAUUAAUGGUGUGUAGUUUUCUAAACGAUGCCUGCUUGCUUUAAUUAAUCUGUCCUGACGCCUACUCCCCCAUCAUCUGAUACUCAAGCAAUUUACAGCAAAUGCUAAUAAUUAUGUGCAAAUAGAUCUUUUUUAUCCAGGUCUGGCUUCUACUAACAGAAUCUCACUAAUAUCUAACCAUACUAAUGUUUGCUAACAAUCACUGAGUACUAACCUGAAACCUGAAUGCUUAUGGCUGGCCAUGUUUCUCUCUAACACACUGACUAACCCUUUGCUUUACGCCCGCAGUGUGACACAUGCUCCUCUCUCAUCAUCCUGCAAUCCUUCUUACAGAAACAACACUCAGAUUAAUUAUUAAAGAUCAAAAUAUCUAUAAAAAGGUGUUCAUUCAAGAAGGGUUUCAGGGAUUGGGAAGGGAAAUGUUAUUAACCAUCCAAGAAAAAAGGAGAUGUAGAAACAAAUGCUGACGUCAGGCUAGGUUGACCACACAUGUAAGACGACAAGUUUGAUCUGAUUACAGAUGAUAAUAGCUAACUGUGUCAGACUUCACAGGCAUCCAUGAUACAGACUGCAUACUUAAAAGCUCACCAGCUCUGCAUCAAUAUCAUUGAUAUUUUAAGAGCUGCAAUGCACUGUGGGGUGGUUUAGUAUUACCAGUGUGCUCCUGUAAUUAUACAAAAAAUUCUGGCCACUCUACACAGCAAAAUCAUCAGUGUUAAUUAAACUCCCUUAGUGCUGAAUUCAAGACUUAUCUGAGUUUAUAUAUUUAUCAUGGGUUCUGAGUUAAAUUUACACUCCAGAAAGUGUUAAUAUUUUAACUUUCUUUUAGUGUUUUUUUACACAUCCAGGUGCAUUUUCACAGCAUUUUACCAUUCCCAUUCAAUUGUGUUAAUUUUAAGUAUGUGCAAUUUUAAUCAUUAUCACAUUGCAAUGCACUUUUAAUAAUUCAUAAAUACUGCUACCUAGAAUCAAACAUCCAGUGCAAGUCAUACAUUUUUGGCAGGGAUGGUGCAAUGCACUCUUUGUAGCAUCCUUUGCUUUAAAUCAGCAGAUCGCCCUUGAUUUGCCACUAACUCAGUGGAUAACUUCACUCAUGGUGCAGAAGUGUCUAACAUCAAAAACAACAAUAUUCCAUAAGAAACAUGAGCAAAAGAAUCCCAGCAGUGAUCACUGCAUGACAGGCAUAAUCUAAACACAUGUAACCACUCUGCCCAAGGGCAUGAUGGGAAAACCCUGCCCACCAGAUUUGGAAUUGCAUUGGGCGGAGCUUAGAUCAGUUGAUUCUCUACAAAGUUAGGCUAACAGUGAAAGGAUCAACACUGACAAAAAACACCCACACUGAAGAACUAGGAUUGGAGUUAAAAUUACACUUUGGGAGUUAAAAUCAACUCUGAAAUGUUUUAUACUGAGAUUUCAACCCUCCAGUUUUUGCUGUGUAGCAAAUUUUUUGCAUCUUUAAAAAUGCAUACUUUGAAUUAGGACUGUACAUACCCAGUGUGGUGCCAUAUUUAGUUUGAAUAUUGUGGAAGUGUGCAGCCAUUGAUUCUUCUUUCUGCUUGUGCAUUGUGUGGUCAACCUUUGCAAAUGAGCACCUGGCUUCUUGUCACAAAAAGAGAAAAAAAUAUUGCGUUACCUGAGCAAGUCUGAACUCCAGUACUAACUAUUCUGGUGUUUGUUACUAACAUUUUCAGGCUGGAAGGCUCCACCUGUCUACCUUACUAACACCUCUCUUCUUUGUUAGUCUUGAAAGAAAUGUCUCUUACAAAUUAAGCAUGCCUUGUCUUACUAAUAAUGUCAGCUUACUGACACUGUAUGGAAGCUUCAAUCUAAAACACCUUGUGGUGCGAUGAGACUGCUUCAUAGCGAUGAGCCGUGCUGCUGAAGUCCUAGCUGUGUUGGUAACGUGCUAAACAGAAGUCUUAACAAAUAAGUGUGACAGUUUUUUUCCUUCCUCGUUAACCUACUAACAUCAGUUUAAACAAAGACUAACACAAAGACUAACAUCAGCUCUCUGUAAACUAACAAACUAACCCACUAAUAAACUAAUCGUCUAACAACACUAACUAAAAUCACUAACUGUGUGUUUAGUGGCAGGAGCAGCCGGUGCACCUGGACUGUAAGAGGCUGUGCCACCUAUUGAAUGUACUAACAUGAUUCCUUUUGGAAGAAAUUGAACAUGCUUGUCAUGGUAUCUGUGCAUGUGUGUGUGUCUGUGGGCGAGAUAAAGGUCAGAGGAGAGGGAGUGGAUGUUGAUGUGAAUACAUUCAAACAGGGUGUGCAGCCAUGUUGCUCUCUCUCAAAUGCUAAUGUAUAGAAAUGUAGAUUACAGUGUCUUAAAUGACUAUUUAAGCCUGAUUAAACACAGUUUUUUUUUUACAUUAAGCCUUAACUUUGACUUAACAUGCAUGCAAUGAAAGGAAAAUCAAAUGUAUUUCAAUUUUUUUGUGUGGUUUCUGCUAACUCAUCACUUGCCUUAAAAACAAUUUAUUGUAAUAAACAGCUCGUAACAGUUUAAUAUCUCCUUUCUUAACUAUUUACAUUAAUAGAUGCAUCACAUAAAAGCACACAAAUUCACACUGGAGGGACAUUUAUCACAACAAAAACAGAAGGUACAAAGAAUGCAUUUUUCUACUUUGGGGACAGUGAUUACAAAGAUGGUUUUACCAAAGGCAAAGGUAGAUAAUGGUGCUUCAAGAGGCCUGAAAUAAAGUCAGUAUAAGUGUAGACAUCAAAAAUGUGAUGAAGACGGCACACUAUUAUCAUUAAAGCAUUAGUAAAUACCUUAUUCGUCAUGUAUCAGGCAUUUUUAACUAAUAAAUACAGUGCAUACAGAGAGUAUUCAGACCCCCUAACCUUUUUAGAUUUUGAUAUUUUGCAGCCUGAUGCUACAAUCAUUUAUCUUUUUCCCUGAAUAAUCAGUACCCCAUCAUGACAAAGUGAAAACAGAGUCUACAGCCUCGAGUCUUUUUGAAUAUGAUCCAGCUUUGCAUACCUGGAUUUGGGGAUUUUCUGCCAUUCGUCUCUGCAAAUCCUCUAAAGUGCAGUCAGGUUGGAUAGGGUCAUUCAGUGAACGGCUAUUUUCAGGUCCCUCCAGAGAUGUUCGAUGGAAUUCAAGUCAGGGCUCUGGUUGGGCCUCUCUAGGGCAUUUACAGAGUUGUCCCAAAGCCACUCCUUUGUUGUCCUUUGAAGGUGAACCUUAGGCCCAGUCUGAGGACCUGAGCGCUGCGGAACAAGUUUUGUUGAGGAUAUCUCUGUACAUUGCUCCAUUCAGCUUUCUUCAACCCUAACCAGUCUCCUAGUCCUUGCUGCUGAAAAGCACCCCCACUGCAUGAUGCUGCCACCACCAUGCUUCACUUUUGGGGUGGCAUUGUGUAGGAGAUGAGUGGUCCCUGGUUUCCUUCAGACAUGUUUAGAACUGUGGCCAUCAGGUUUUUGACCACCUCUCUAAGGCCUUUCUGCUCUGAUUGCUCAGUUUGGCCGGGCGUCCAGCGCUUAGAAGAGUCCUGGUUGUGUCAACCUUCUUCCAUUGGAGAAUUAUGGAGGCCACUGUGCUCAUGGGAACAUUCAGUGCAGCAAAAUUUUUUGUAGCCUUCCCCAGAUCUUUGACUUGCAACAAUCCUGUCUCUGAGCUCUGCUGGC